CUUAGCCAAAGCCAAGAUUGCGGUAUGAUGCUUGAAAUCGUAUCAUCAACGUUUUCAAGCAUCAUACCGCAGUCUUGGCUUUGGCUAAGACAG
rnacentral:pre_miRNA from 1 species